rnacentral:tRNA from 1 species
GGUGGCUCAGCGGUAGAGCGCUUGCCUUGCAAGCAUGAGGCCCUGGGUUCGAUUCCACAGCACCA